GCGACGGGGUCACCCCGAGUGCCAGCCGCUGAGGCUGGCUUUUCCCCAGUGUAAAAAGCAGGGGGAAUAAGCGGGGGGCAAGUUCUGGUGUCAGCCGCCGCGGUAAUACCAGCUCCGCGAGUGGUCGGGGCGUUUAUUGGGCCUAAAGCGUCCGUAGCCGGCCCAGUAAGUUCCUCCUUAAAUCCCAUGGCUCAACCAUGGGGCUGGGAGGAAUACUACUGGGCUAGGGGGCGGGAGAGGCCGAGGGUAUUCCCGGGGUAGGGGCGAAAUCCUAUAAUCCCGGGAAGACCACCAAUGGCGGAGGCACUCGGCCAGAACGCGCCCGACGGUGAGGGACGAAAGCCAGGGGAGCAAAAGGGAUUAGAGACCCCUGUAGUCCUGGCUGUAAACGAUGCGGGCUAGGUGUUGGCUGAGCUUCGGGCUCAGCCAGUGCCGCAGGGAAGCCGUUAAGCCCGCCGCCUGGGGAGUACGGCCGCAAGGCUGAAACUUAAAGGAAUUGGCGGGGGAGCACCACAAGGGGUGGAGGCUGCGGUUCAAUUGGAGUCAACCCCGGGAACCUUACCAGGGGCGACAGCAGGAUGAGGGCCAGGCUAACGACCUUGCCCGACGCGCUGAGAGGAGGUGCAUGGCCGUCGCCAGCUCGUGCCGUGAGGCGUCCGGUUAAGUCCGGUAACGAGCGAGACCCUCGUCUCCAGUUGCGACCAGGACCCAUUGGGUCCUGGGCACACUGGAGAGACUGCCAGCGCUAAGCUGGAGGAAGGAGGGGGCUACGGCAGGUCAGUAUGCCCCGAAAACCCCUGGGCUACACGCGGCCUGCAAUGGUGGGGACAAUGGGUUCCGAACCCGAAAGGGGGAGGUAAUCCCAUAAAACCCCACCUCAGUUGGGAUCGAGGGCUGCAACUCGCCCUCGUGAAC
rnacentral:rRNA from 1 species